UACGAAGGGGGCUAGCGUUGCUCGGAAUCACUGGGCGUAAAGGGUGCGUAGGCGGGUCUUUAAGUCAGUGGUGAAAUCUCCGGGCUCAACCCGGAAACUGCCAUUGAUACUAUUAGUCUUGAAUUUUGUUGAGGUAGGCGGAAUAAGUCAUGUAGCGGUGAAAUGCUUAGAUAUGACUUAGAACACCAAUUGCGAAGGCAGCUUGCUAAACAAAUAUUGACGCUGAGGCACGAAAGCGUGGGGAUCAAACAGG
rnacentral:rRNA from 1 species